UCCAAGCGAGCAACCGCCCGCGCCCUCGCGGCCCCUCCACCGCUCGUCUCCAAUGCCACCGUCGCCGCCGCCGCGGCCGUCCCCGUAGGGUCUCCCGCCGAUGGGGAACAGCUGCGUCGGCGCCGGCCCCAACGGCGCCGGCCGCAGCGGCUUCCUCGCCUCCGUCGCCAUAUGGCGCGCGAAGCCCGCCGAGCCGGCGCCGGCCCCCGACACCUCCCCGGCGUCCACCUCCGAGCAGAAGGCGCCCGAGCCCGUCACCAUCCCGCCCGACGAGCACUCCUCCUCGCACGGCGGCGUGCGCUCCUCCGACCCGCCGCCCCCCAAGCGCGCCGAGACGCAGCGGCAGAUGUCGAUGGCCCCCACGGCGAAGAAGCCCGUGCCCAAGGUCAAGCGCGUCCAGAGCGCCGGCCUCCAGGCCGACUCCGUCCUCAAGCGCGACGUCAACACCGCCAAACUCAAGGACCUCUACACCAUCGGCAAGAAGCUGGGGCAGGGCCAGUUCGGCACCACCUACCUCUGCGUCGAGAAGGCCACGGGGAAGGAGUACGCCUGCAAGUCCAUCGCCAAGCGGAAGCUGCUCACCGAUGAGGACGUCGAGGACGUGCGCCGCGAGAUCCAGAUCAUGCACCACCUGGCCGGCCACAGCAGCGUCGUCUCCAUCGUCGGCGCCUACGAGGACGCCGUCGCCGUGCAGCUUGUCAUGGAGCUCUGCGCCGGCGGCGAGCUGUUCGACAGAAUCAUCCAGAGGGGGCACUACUCCGAGAAGGCCGCGGCGCAGCUCACCAGGGUGAUCGUCGGCGUCAUCGAGGCGUGCCACUCGCUCGGCGUCAUGCACAGGGAUCUCAAGCCCGAGAAUUUCUUGUUCAUCAAUAAUCAGGAGGACUCGCCGCUCAAGGCCAUUGAUUUCGGGCUCUCCAUCUUCUUCACACCAGGUCAGAUGUUUACAGAUGUAGUUGGAAGUCCAUACUAUGUUGCACCUGAGGUUCUUCUAAAGAACUAUGGGCGUGAAGUUGACGUCUGGAGUGCUGGUGUAAUAAUCUAUAUCUUGUUGAGUGGGGUUCCUCCAUUCUGGGACGAAAGUGAACAAGGGAUAUUUGAACAAGUUUUGAAAGGUGAGCUGGACUUUACAACUGAUCCCUGGCCUAGUAUCUCAGAGAGUGCGAAGGAUUUGGUCAGGAAAAUGCUUAAUCGUGAUCCAAAGAAGAGAUUGACUGCCCACGAAGCGCUAUGUCACCCUUGGGUUUGUAUUGAUGGAGUUGCUCCUGAUAAACCUCUUGAUUCUGCUGUCCUAAGUCGGUUAAAACAAUUUUCUGCAAUGAAUAAACUUAAGAAAAUGGCCCUUAGGGUUAUUGCCGAGAGUUUGUCUGAAGAAGAGAUUGCAGGAUUGAAAGAAAUGUUUAAAAUGCUAGACAGUGAUAACAGCGGUCAUAUCACAUUGGAUGAGCUAAAAACUGGCUUGCGGCGAGUUGGUGCUACUCUGAUGGACUCAGAAAUUGAUGCUUUAAUGGAAGCAGCCGAUAUAGAUAAUAGUGGUACCAUUGAUUAUGGGGAGUUCAUUGCUGCAACUAUGCAUAUGAACAAAGUUGAGAAGGAGGAUAAGCUCUUUGCAGCCUUCCAAUACUUUGAUAAAGACGGCAGUGGUUACAUUACUCAAGAUGAGCUCCAAAAGGCAUGUGAGGAGUUUGGUAUUGGAGACACCCGUAUUGAAGAUAUUAUCGGAGAUGUCGAUAAGGACAAUGAUGGAAAGAUCGACUACAAUGAGUUUGUCGAAAUGAUGCAGAAAGGAAAUAAUCCACUGGGUAGAAAAGGACAGCAAAGCAAUGUGAACUUUGGUCUUGGAGAUGCACUGAAGCUUCGGUAAACUGAGGUAAAAUGAGAUUCAAGCAACCCUGCCAAAAAGAAGAGAUUAAAGUGCAACCAAAACGAAUACUUGCUAAACUAAAAAAGUUUCUGAAUUCUUGUCCUAGUUGGGUACUGGCUUACAGCAUUUUCAGGUGUAGUUAACCAAAUGCCAUUCAGCGACCCACAAAAGAUAACCCAGCAGCAGAGUAGCUCCCACAGCUUGUCGCACGCAGGCAGGUAUUCAGAUAUCAAGAUUUCAUGGCACCUCGGUCCGAGUUUUGGUGGGUCGGGUCUAUGAACUCUUAAGGCUGAAGUGAAACUAAUUUCGGCGGGAGUACCAAAAGCCUCUCACAAGAGCUGACAUUAGGGUGUUCCCAACAUGACAUCGUAUGAUAUGAUUCUCUUAAUUAAUUUACAUCAACAAGAGCAUCGGCCGGUAAGAAAUGCUCGGCGAAACCGCCAUGUACACGUGUUGUAAGUAAAGCAUGAGAGUUGAGUAGGAGAGGUGUCCUUUUCUUCUUCUUCAGUUUUUCCCCUCGUUUCUGAAACCAGCGGCAGGGAGACCCUAAGCCAUGGGAGGAAGUGGAAACUCCAGCUGCUACCUUUGAUUCUCUUCAUCUGUAUUAUUGGAUAGCGGUUUAGUAUGCCUUGGCCUUUUGUGAGGGUAGGUUGUCUCUGUGUGUGUUUUCUGUAGGCAAAAAGAAAUGUCUGACCAAUGAAAACCGAUUCUCCUGCUAUUAUUGUCCGUUUUUCGACGUUGUAAGAACAGUGGUGGCACGGACUAAUUAAAGCCU